UACAGAGGUCCCAAGCGUUGUUCGGAUUCACUGGGCGUAAAGGGUGCGCAGGUGGCAUGGUAAGUUUGGUGUGAAAGCUUCGGGCUUAACCCGGAAAUGGCAUUGAAAACUACUGUGCUGGAGGAUCGGAGGGGGGACUGGAAUUCUUGGUGUAGCAGUGAAAUGCGUAGAUAUCAAGAGGAACACCAGUGGCGAAGGCGAGUCCCUGGACGAUACCUGACACUGAGGCACGAAAGCCAAGGGAGCAAACAGG
rnacentral:rRNA from 1 species